GACAGAGGGGGCAAGCGUUGUCCGGACUGACUGGGCGUAAAGCGCGCGCAGGCGGUCUCGGGCGUCGGUGCUGAAAGUCCACCGCUUAACGGUGGGAUGCGUGCCGAUACGCCGAGACUGGAGGGUGGGCGAGGGUGGUGGAAUUGCCGGUGUAGUGGUGAAAUGCGUAGAGAUCGGCAGGAACACCCAGGGGGAAACCAGUCGACUGGGCAUCUACUGACGCUGAGGUGCGAGAGCGUGGGGAGCGAACCGG
rnacentral:rRNA from 1 species